rnacentral:ncRNA from 1 species
UGUGCUGCGAAUGGUACAAGGAUCAAAAGGGAACCAGGUGAGACUCCUGGACAGUACCCGCUGCUGUAACUCCCUCGACAAGUCAUCGCUCGGCAUGCAUGCCACUGGUUGCAACAUCAUGCUGCAUCAUCACCGGGAAGGCGCCGAAGGCGAUGGGGGAGAAGUCAGAAGACCUGCCUACA